CUUUACUCGGAAAUCGUUCGCAUACUCAAUGAUUUAUUUUAGGAUACACAAGUUGAACCGAACACGACCUGGGUUCGAGUAAACUCGAGAAAUCAACGCCAUCGAAUUCUUCUCACCACUUGCAGCAAUGAUACAACGCGAUAUAUCUUUUACAAAAAAGUUCCUUCGGUCUUCGGCACAUCCACCAUUCAAGAUCUACAAUUAGAUUGGGCUCUUA
rnacentral:lncRNA from 1 species